rnacentral:rRNA from 1 species
AUUUCACGGAGAGUUUGAUCCUGGCUCAGGACGAACGCUGGCGGCGCGCCUAACACAUGCAAGUCGAGCGAGAACCGGCCCUUCGGGGCCGGGGACAGCGGCGAACGGGUGAGUAACACGUGGGUAAUCUGCCCUCGGUUCCGGGAUAGCCCGGGGAAACCCGGAUUAAUACCGGAUGGCCUCUCGAGCCCUCGAGCUCGCGAGAAAAGGUAGCUUCGGCCUCCGACCGAGGAUGAGCCCGCGGCCGAUUAGCUUGUUGGUGAGGUAACGGCUCACCAAGGCGACGAUCGGUAGCUGGUCUGAGAGGACGAUCAGCCACACUGGGACUGAGACACGGCCCAGACUCCUACGGGAGGCAGCAGUGGGGAAUC